rnacentral:lncRNA from 1 species
CACAAAGUAUGGGGGUGAAAGGGUUUUACAUCUACAGAAAGAAAAGCUAAUUGAGAUUUCUAAAAGAUGUAAAAAUCCUUUCUGGAAGGAUGUUUUACUAUGCUUUUCUAUAGCAAAACCUAUUACUGAGAAUUCUGUCAGUGACAUUUUAUCAUUAGAUAUUUUGAACUUUUCUUCUCUGGAUCAUUUCCCAUAUUAUAUUCAAUGGAAACAAGGAAGUGUGUAGUCAGUAAGUGACCUAAUUAAUAAAGAAAAUAUGAAUUUUUAUAAAUUUGAACAAUUUUAAGAAAGAGUAAAAAUCAACAAUUUUAUCAAAUAUCAUAGUCUGAUUUCAAGAAUCCCUCAGACUAUAAAAAAAUGCCUUAAAGAGAACUGUUUAAAGCAAGAUUUGGAUAAGCCUGAUAAUGGUGAUAUUUUUUUAAAGAGAAUUAUAGGUAAUGUGAAAGCAAAAUUUGUAUAUAAAAAUUUAGUAAAUAAAGUUAUAGAACUACCAACAGUCAAAUUUUCGAAAUGGGAAGAACUGUUGAUUAUUGAUUUAACAGAAUGGUCAGAAUAUUUCAGGAUAACCAAAAAAUCUUGUAGAGAUGUUUAUUUAAGAACCUUUCAAUACAAAUUUCUGCAUAGAAUCAUAGCAACUAAUACCUUUUUAUACAAAAUUAAAUUAAAAGACACCAAGAUGUGUACUUUUUGUGAACUUGGUGAAGAAACCAUUGAACACCUUUUUUUUGAAUGCCCAAUAACUUUUCAAUUGUGGCAAUCUUUUUCAAAUGCAGUAAAUCUUUUUUUGUAAACUUUGUUCUUAACAAAGAGAAUGUGUUUCUUGGUUGCAAACAUGAAAGUUUAUUACUGAAUCUGUUGGUCAUAAUUACAAAGAAUUAUAUAUACAAAUGUAAAUUAAAUGAAACAAAACCAAAUAUGGUUGGGUUAAAGAAUAGAAUAAAGAAAUACCAAUUUCUUGAACAUUAUAUUGCAGAGAAAAAUAACACAGUCCAAGUGUGUGAAAAAUUUUGGUCUCCUUUACAUGUAAUAUUCAAUUAAUUAUUGUUACAUAUAAAUGAGAAAUUCUAUUUUUAUUUUUAUAUAUAUUAUGAGCAAAAAUUUAUCCUUGAGCUUUUGAUUUUUUUUUUGAUUUUUUUUUCUUGUCUUUAAAAUAUAUAUAUAUUAUUUUUUAAAUGUAAGUCAAGAUACAUAUUGUAGCAUAACAAAUGAGUGAAGAGUAUUUGUAAUGUAUGAGAAAAAGUCAGAGAGCGAGAAAAUAUUACCAAAUAAAACUUAUAUGUAACCUUAAAUAUUAUAAUUGUAAAAAUCAAUUUGUCAGUGAUAAAAAUUGUAUACUGAAUUAUUUUCUAUAAUAUGUAACCCCUUGAUACCCUUGUCAGGUGGUAGUGUAGGGGUACAUGUAUAUUAAAUCCUGACUAUUGAAAAACAAAUAAAAGAUAAAAAAAAAAAAGAAAAUA